UCCAAAAUUUUCAAAACCCUAUUCCUUUUCAAAAAGUGUGUUUAUGGAUUGUGUCCUUCAAAAUGUUAAUAGCCACUCAAUGUUUGUUCUUAGAUCUUUGCAGGAUUCAGUCGCAUAUCUCGGAUCUGAGUUCUGCGCAGCACUGGACACAGACUCUGCACUUUUGACAUUUUCUAGAAAAAAGGAUUUUAAAUUUCACAUCAAGUUAAUUAAAAGUCAUCUGAUGUUUCCACUGCAGUACUUCAGGGCCUUUCAGUCAUCCUGGAGGAUGACCCACAGGAAUUUUACAGGAUGUGUUUCGAUGUGGAUGCAGACUUCAGUCAAGCAGUUGUAGACCUGCUCACAGUUCUACCAGAGGACAUGCCCUCAUUGUGGAUGCAAUAAAGGCAAUCAUGGAGGGAAGAAUUGUCAUGGAUGGGUUUUAAAGGCCUGUAUUUUAUUUUUGCUGUUCUGUUUGCAUGCCAUUCUGAAAAUGCUCUAUUGUUUAACAGUGUUCCAGUGGGUCACGAUAAUGUUAUGACAACAAAGUGUUGUUUAGUCAAGAAGUCUGUAAAGAGUAUUAUAAGAACACAGAUGUUUUAAAAGCUAAUUUUUAUUAUUGUGAUAUUCUUAAAGUUUUUUACAAAAAUAAACUGUUGAGAAUUUCA